rnacentral:rRNA from 1 species
CUGAUGUCAGAGCUUGCUCUGGCGGAUCAGUGGCGAACGGGUGAGUAACACGUGAGUAACCUGCCCCCGACUCUGGGAUAACUGCUAGAAAUGGUAGCUAAUACCGGAUAUGACGAUUGGCCGCAUGGUCUGGUCGUGGAAAGAAUUUCGGUUGGGGAUGGACUCGCGGCCUAUCAGGUUGUUGGUGAGGUAAUGGCUCACCAAGCCUACGACGGGUAGCCGGCCUGAGAGGGUGACCGGCCACACUGGGACUGAGACACGGCCCAGACUCCUACGGGAGGCAGCAGUGGGGAAUAUUGCACAAUGGGCGAAAGCCUGAUGCAGCAACGCCGCGUGAGGGAUGACGGCCUUCGGGUUGUAAACCUCUUUUAGUAGGGAAGAAGCGAAAGUGACGGUACCUGCAGAAAAAGCACCGGCUAACUACGUGCCAGCAGCCGCGGUAAUACGUAGGGUGCAAGCGUUGUCCGGAAUUAUUGGGCGUAAAGAGCUCGUAGGCGGUUUGUCGCGUCUGCUGUGAAAUCCCGAGGCUCAACCUCGGGUCUGCAGUGGGUACGGGCAGACUAGAGUGCGGUAGGGGAGAUUGGAAUUCCUGGUGUAGCGGUGGAAUGCGCAGAUAUCAGGAGGAACACCGAUGGCGAAGGCAGAUCUCUGGGCCGUAACUGACGCUGAGGAGCGAAAGCAUGGGGAGCGAACAGGAUUAGAUACCCUGGUAGUCCAUGCCGUAAACGUUGGGAACUAGAUGUGGGGACCAUUCCACGGUCUCCGUGUCGCAGCUAACGCAUUAAGUUCCCCGCCUGGGGAGUACGGCCGCAAGGCUAAAACUCAAAGGAAUUGACGGGGGCCCGCACAAGCGGCGGAGCAUGCGGAUUAAUUCGAUGCAACGCGAAGAACCUUACCAAGGCUUGACAUAUACCGGAAACAUGCAGAGAUGUGUGCCCCGCAAGGUCGGUAUACAGGUGGUGCAUGGUUGUCGUCAGCUCGUGUCGUGAGAUGUUGGGUUAAGUCCCGCAACGAGCGCAACCCUCGUUCUAUGUUGCCAGCACGUAAUGGUGGGAACUCAUAGGAGACUGCCGGGGUCAACUCGGAGGAAGGUGGGGAUGACGUCAAAUCAUCAUGCCCCUUAUGUCUUGGGCUUCACGCAUGCUACAAUGGCCGGUACAAAGGGCUGCGAUACCGUAAGGUGGAGCGAAUCCCAAAAAGCCGGUCUCAGUUCGGAUUGAGGUCUGCAACUCGACCUCAUGAAGUCGGAGUCGCUAGUAAUCGCAGAUCAGCAACGCUGCGGUGAAUACGUUCCCGGGCCUUGUACACACCGCCCGUCAAGUCAUGAAAGUCGGUAACACCCGAAGCCAGUGGCCUACC